UACGGGGGGGGCAAGCGUUGUUCGGAAUUACUGGGCGUAAAGGGCUCGUAGGUGGCCAAUUAAGUCAGACGUGAAAUCCCCAAGCUUAACUUGGGAACUGCGUCUGAUACUGAGUGGCUUGAAUCCGGGAGAGGGAUGUGGAAUUCCAGGUGUAGCGGUGAAAUGCGUAGAUAUCUGGAGGAACAUCGGUGGCGAAGGCGGCAUCCUGGACCGGUAUUGACGCUGAGGCGCGAAAGCCAGGGGAGCAAACGGG
rnacentral:rRNA from 1 species